ncrna:unclassified sequences Actino-pnp RNA
CGUGGUCCUCGGUAGUGGUUCACACAACUUUUCUGUUGUGUGUGCUUCGAUCGAUGAUCAUC